rnacentral:rRNA from 1 species
UACGUGAGGGGCGAACGUUGUUCGGUGUCACUGGGCGUAAAGGGCUCGUAGGCGGCCAACUAAGUCAGACGUGAAAUCCCUCGGCUUAACCGGGGAACUGCGUCUGAUACUGGAUGGCUUGAGAUUGGGAGAGGGAUGCGGAGUUCCAGGUGUAGCGGUGAAAUGCGUAGAUAUCUGGAGGAACACCGGUGGCGAAGGCGGCAUCCUGGACCAACACUGACGCUGAGGAGCGAAAGCCAGGGGAGCAAACGGGG